rnacentral:rRNA from 1 species
UACGGAGGAUGCGAGCGUUAUCCGGAUUUAUUGGGUUUAAAGGGUGCGUAGGCGGUCCGUUAAGUCAGCGGUAAAAUUGCGGGGCUCAACCCCGUCGAGCCGUUGAAACUGUCAGACUUGAGUUGGCGAGAAGUACGCGGAAUGCGCGGUGUAGCGGUGAAAUGCAUAGAUAUCGCGCAGAACUCCGAUUGCGAAGGCAGCGUACCGGCGCCACACUGACGCUGAGGCACGAAAGCGUGGGGACCGAACAGG